UUUUUUUUUUUUUUUUUGAAGUUGCUCAGAAUGUUAGCUAACUAGGCAGCUGACUUAUUCUUUCAUGAUAUUUAGAUGCUCAUGUCCACCAUUUCAGUGAUCAUCGAAAACAACUCUAGUUUUACAGUGUACGUAAUGAGUUGGUGGUAAAUCUGUAAUUGAUUUCAAUAUUCCUGCAACCAUCAAGCUAUUAUCAGACACUGAGUGCAACCUUCAUUCCGAUCAAUAGUAUGUACAAGUCCAAAAUUAACACAAUAAUAUAGAGAGACAAAUUAUUAGUUACCACCAUUUUCAGAGUUAAGGCCAGCCAAGGAAAGAAAUUGAUCUCCUUCCUUCAAAGAAACAACAGCUAUCCUUUUUUUUUUUUUUUUUGCUAGGAUGAGUAGAUGCUAUACAAGAUCAGCCAACCCUUAUAUAUAUGUGAUUUAGAAACGAGUGAAGACUGAAGACUUUGUAUCUUUUUGCAUGCACAGCGUACAGAACAUGUCUUUUGAUCUUCUCCAUUAAAAUUGUGCAGAGAACAAGGUCGAUGAAAGCUCACACCCCUCCCAUCUAAAAAGAGAGGCAGAGAGGCUCUUUCAUGACGAAACAAACAUCUUGAGCGAAAGGUAACAUUAUUAAGCAAAAAGAAUUGAAUGAAUUACAUAUGCAUGCAUGUUUAAUUAAUGAUAGCGUUGAUCGGAGAUAUUGAGCAUAAAACGAACACAAUGAUACAAAUGCAGCGCCGGCAAGCAAAAGAAUUGAGGGGGAAAAUUUGAAUUCGAACAUUGCUAGCUAAUUGCGUGAGGUGGAAGGGUGGAUGAUUAAAUAAAUAACGUGGAGCGGGUUAAUGGGACCUCGGUUAUGAGAUGGUGGAUUUCGUAAUUGAUCGAUAGCUAGAGCCUACAAGUAAUACCGAACGUUCUUUGCUGUGAUUAUAACUUCAUAUUCUAUGCUGAAUAUUGCUUGGUUCAAGAGUUGCAGCUCAUUACACAUUUUUGGGUAUUAAAAAAAAAAAAAAAUUAAGAAGUUAGGUAUCGCAAGUGUGUGUGUGUGUGUGUAUGUUUAAAGCUACAUGAUCUGGUCUUUAUCUAAGUUCUGUUGCAGUUUUACGAAAAUGUAAAACAAAAGCUUAGUCACGCAGUUACACUUGUAGGAUAAGAUCUUAUAUAUAGAGAACUUCUGAUAAGGUCUAAGUGAGAACUUUUGAAAUUUGAAUGAGAAAAUUUGUUCUGACGCAUCAUGUAUGACACGGUAUGAACUAUGAACCUCAAACAUCGCUCAAGACUUAUUUGGUGGUCUAGUAAACUCAUGAUCAAAUAUCUAACUUUAAAGUAAUAAUUGAUGAUUAAACAUGCUGCAUUGAAAAACAUGUAAAUGUGCUCGAUCACAGAAAACAUUACUAGCACAUAUAAUUGGGGAAAUGCGCACGCCGAGUUUUAUUGAUAGCCUAGCAUGACCCAAAACCAGUCCUCAAAACUAGUUAUAUUACACCGGAACUCCAGUAGUUCCACGGACAGUGACCUCUGCCUCCACUACGCAAGUAUCAUUCUUGAAAUAACCCUUGUCUGCUUGACUAAACAUAUUCAGCGCGAUGAAUUUAUGGAAACCGGUACCCCAACUCUUUUUCAAGGCACCAAAGAUCUUAGUACCUAGAAGUAGAAUAAACAGUCUAUUAGCGAGCCGAAUGCUGCAGACAAAAUAUACCAGUAUCUAAUACACAACAAACUAUCAGCCCCUUUUACCAGUGUAUAUAUGUGACGUUAAAAGGAGAGACUACAUAAAAAUGUCAAUAACUUAGUCAAUACAAUCUUUACCAAUAUAUAGACAAAGAGCAAUGCCUGUCAUGAAUUUGAUCUAGGCAGCGCAGUGUGCAUGGAAUCUGCAAUUAUAUGAGAGCCAGAAGGAAGGGUCUCAGGAUUAGCCAGUGCGAGAGAAACAUAAAGAGAUGACCACGUCCCUUGGGAUAGAGCUCUAUCUUCCUACAACAACCUGUUUGAAGAACAAGAAAACUAAAUAUGUUAGAUGUCAAGCAUCAUAAUUCGUAACAUCGAUCCAAUAACUUUCAAGCACAAAUGUAAUGCAUACAAAACAUUAAUUCAACAAGUUCACGACUCUAAAAUUGAAAAGAUAAUUGGCAAUUUGGCAUCGAUCAACUGCUCAAGUACAUAGUUUAAAACCUAGCCUAUAUAUACUUUUUGGUAUUUCACAACGCUUAAUUAAAAGAGAUACCGUUCAUAGCCUCCAACACUAAAGGGUUCUGAUGAAUAGACUUCAGCACAAGUUAUCAAGCUUCCAAACAUGCUUGUCAACAAAGGCAUUACUACUCUUUCUAACACACUCCUUUCCGAUCCCUGUUCGGGCUGUUCUCCUUUCUUUACAAACGAAUACAUCCGCUCCAUACACGCAAGUGUCACCAACAAGAUAUCCAUUGGAGGCAUCAGUAAAAUCUUUAGUUGGGAUGAGGUCAUCAAAACCAGCCGCAUCAGUGACAGCAACAUUAAUCUAACAAGUACAGAAACAACCAAAAACAUUUACAAACAAUCAGAAACAGGGUAAUAUAUAUAUAUAUAGACGCAUUUUCAGGUGCGGACGUCCGCACCGUAAAACGGUACGGAUUUCCGUCCGUUUGACACCGUACGGCGUCGCGCGAGGGCGCGCCUCCACCUCAGCGGACUCCAGCAGCUUCCCCGACCACUUUCCAUCCCCGGCGAAUCCGCCGAAUUCCAGNNNNNNNNNNNNNNNNNNNNNNNNNNNNNNNNNNNNNNNNNNNNNNNNNNNNNNNNNNNACUGGAAAAGAACGGACUCGCCGGGGAUGGAAAGUGGUCGGGGAAGCUGCUGAAGUCCGCUGGGGUGGAGGCAUGCCCUCGCACGGUGCCGUACGGUGGCGAACGGAUGGAAAUCCACACCGUAAAACGGUGCGGACGUCCGUAACAGAGAAACCCUGAUAUACAACCUUUCUCAUGUGCGGAUUAUAUAUAUAUAUAUAAAUACAUACAUACACAAUUUUCUUCUAGUGCGAGACACCGCUUUGAUUUUAUAGGCUAUUAUAUAUUACAUGGCUUAAAGAUAUAGCGUUUUGUAUGAACUCAGAACGCACAUGAGAGAUUCAAGUAACAAAUGGAAAACAAAAGCUAAGCCAAACCGUAACCCUAAUGGGAUUACACUGGUAGUUGAGAAAUUGCUCUCCUUUUGCUAAUCUGUUAAACACAAGAUCAAACAUUUUAACGACACAGUAAUAUCUGAUAAACAUGAUAUAACAAAAAACAAGUAACUGUGUUCGAUCUUCACUUGAGGUCAGAAACAGUACAUCCAUAUCAGGGUACUGUGCACCAUCCAGCCCUUCAUUUGUAACCCGCCAUGGUGCAAAAUUUGUCCUCAGAACAAAUUAUUACAGAACUCCAGUAAUUGCAUGGACAGUGACCUCUGCCUCCACAAUGCAAGUGUCAUUCAUCAAAAAACCCUAGUCUUCCUGGGUGAACAUCUCCAGUGCAAUGAAACGAGAGUAACCCCAACUCUGCUCAGACUUCAAGGCACCGAACAUCCUGUCAAUAGUACCUACAUGAUGAAGACACAACAUAUGCUGUUAGCCCUUUAAAUUUUUCUUGGUUCCUAUAUAUAUAUAGCACACGAAACACUUGUACUAAUUGUUUGAGUGUGUCAAUAACAGUCCAGUCAAUCUUUACCGCUAUAAUUAUAGUGAUGCCCGUCAUGAAUUUAUCUAGGAUGCGAAAUUUAUAAUCUGCAUAUAUAAGGGAGCGAGAAGGAAGGGUCUCAGGAUUUGCUAAUUAAGGUGAGACACAGAGAGAGAUGACUAUCCUUUCCAUCACCAAUUCCCUUCGGAUAGAGAGCUAUAUUCCUGCAAAAGACAUUUUAAGUCGAGGAAAAUUAGGAACAAUAUUAAAGUAUUGCAUGCAUUAUAACUUCUGUACAAUCUUCAAACACACUCGAAUGCAUUGGAAACGAUUAUUUAAUAUGGAAUGAGUAUACUGCAACUGCAAAAUUAAAUAGCAUCUAGAUUUCAAAUCGCAAUGUUUAAUUGGAUAUACCACUUAUAGCCUCCGGCACUGAAGGGUUCUGAUGAGUAGAAAACAGCAUCUAAAUUUGAAAAGUUAUCAAGCUUCCAAACGUGUUUGUGCAUGGAGGCACAUCUCAUCUUUCUUAGACACACUCCUUUCCCUGUUCUCCUUUCUUUACAAACAAAGACCUCAGCUCCAUACACACAUGUAUCAUCAACAAUAUAUCUAUUGGAGGCAUCAGAAAAAUCUUUUAUGUGGAUAAGUUGAUCAAAACCAGCUGCAUCAAGCACAGCACCGUUGAAGCACUUUUGCUUUGUAAAAGCAUCUAUAAGAGUGUAAAAUAAAUAAUUACAAUAAAUUGAGCAAUAGCCCUUGCAUUUAUAUAUGUACAUGAACAAGUUUACUGAAUUGAUACCUUCAAAAACCGAGUAGACUCUCUUAUUCUGAUCAAGCAAAAACAAUCUGAAAUCGACAUAUAUAUACCUCCCAACCAGUUGGAAGAGAAUCUGUCGGCUAUGACCAAGUAGAGAGAGAUAUGGUUUCCCACAUUCCUCCUCUUAUUUCCAUUUGGGUACAACACCAGUUUCCUACGUGUGCAAAGCAAAUUACAUAAUUCAAAUUUUAUCACUAGUUGAUAUGAAAAGAGAUGAGAUAGAGACAAAGAAGUAGAACUGAAUUACCAUUUGUAUCCUCCAGCUUCAAACUGUGAUGAUCCAUACCUAUCCUUUGUAAAACGUUCACUUACCAUCUUAAAUGACUCUAUUUUUACAGUGCAAUGAGUUGGCGGUGAAUCAGAAAAUGAUGACAUAAACUGAGUGCAACCUUAGUAACUAUAUAUCAAUAAUAUGUUCAAGUUCAAAAUUAACAUAAUAACAUUUACAGAGCUAAGGCCAGACAUGGAAAAGAAAUUGAUCUCCUUCGUUCAAAUAAACAGCAACUAUAUAUCCUUCUUUGCUUGAAUUUAAGAGGGUAACAAUUAGUAGAUGCUAUACACAAGAUCAGCCAACCUUUAUAUAUGAUUUGGAAACGAGUGAAGACUUGGUAUCUUUCUACACAGCGUACAAAGCAUGUCUUUUGAUCUUCUCCAUUAAAAUUGUGCAGAGAACAAGGUCGAUGAAUAUAAAGAACCGUAUUGGGGAUAGAGAUCAAUAGCUAUAUGCAUCUUUCCUCAAUAAAUCAUGUUUGCACAGUGCCCUAAAUCCUUGCUUUAAUUUUUUUUUUUUUUUUAAAGAAAUUAUCCCCACCCUACCCUUUCUGCCUUUCAUAUGGAUAUGAGAUGGUGGAUUUCGAAAUUGAUCACUAGCUAGCUAGAGCCUAAAACUAUUUCUAAAUGUUCUGGUUUAGAUUAUAACCUCUUAUUAUUUCAAAAUAAAACUAGGUAAUCUACAUUUUUAGGUAACACUAUAUAUAUAUUACAUUAAUCAACUCUACACUGUAGGGUUUCAUAUGCAUCCAAGUUCUGUACAUACUCAGAAGACACCAGAGAGAUGAUAAGCCAAAACGGCCUGGUGGGAUAUGAUCUUAUGCGCUGCGAAAUAAUUGAGGAAUUUGUUCCCCUUUGAUAAUCCACUACUAGCAAAAUGAGCUCUUACACUGAUUUUGCUUAUUUCACAUGGAUAUCAGUGUCAGAAAACCAUUAUUUACAGUACACUCACGAAUUGUCUAUCCGUGCUCUUAGAGAGGGGGCUAAUGCUCGUUACACACAGAUAAAAAAGUCCUGUGAAUUGUAGAUGUGGACCCCAUUAUCUUUUCAUAGACAUAAUUUAUUUAUUAAAUAGUGUUUAAUGAGAACAACUAUCUAAUUCAUACGGAUAUGUGUGAUAAUAGUAAAUAUCAACUGACACUGAACUGUGUGAAAGAGUAAUAUUACUAAAAAGAAAAUGUUGGUGUCUAGACCUAUGGCCUAACAUGUCAUCUAUGUCAUGGCUCUCAUACACCAUCACGAGUAUCAUCUUGUACACCAUCCUAAGACGUGGUCAAUCCAUCUCAUCAAACACCAUCAACCAGCUGGUAAUCAGAUACCAUGGUUAGCUGCUCAUAUGCCAUAUGGCUCCCUGACAACAUCUUUUAUUGCUAAAAAUGAAAUAAACAACAUGAAAGAACUUAGACAAGCAAGGUGGAUAUUCACUGUAUGUAUAUGAACACUUAAAAUGAUUAAUAGACAAUUAGUCUUGAAUAACAAUAUAUUACCUAUAUAUAACUGGCUGGGAUUUCUUCAAGUCCCUUUCUGUUAGUAGACUAUCCUCAACAAUCUGCACCUCUGAUAGAAUUUUUGAAGGCUUUUUUAUGGCAAAGCACAGAGGUGGUCUGCAAGGAAACCCAAGUUAAUCUCACAAUAUAAACAUGCAAAUUUUGGAAAUUUUGACAAUGAUUACGUGCAAUAACAUCUAAAGCAAUCCACCACAAACUGAUGGAACCAAAGAACCACAACGCAAAUUAUUCAAAAUCCAAUAACAAGUUGAACAUAAAGUAUAUGAAAAAUGGAUCAAAGAAUAAACCUGAAUCGAUCUGCUAUUUCUUAGAUCUGAGAUCGAAUCUGGGUUCGAAGAUAUCAAACAGAGCAAGGAAAUCAUGAGAUCUGCUAUUUUUAACAAUAAACUAGGCAUGGAUCAAAGUAACAAAGUGGAAGAAGAUCUAGAGCAGCUUGCUCAUCCAACAGAGGAAAGAAUAGGAGAGAACCUAUAAACUACAAAGGAGAGAAGUGAAGAUGAAUGAUCUGAUGGCUGAUAUAAGAUUUAAUGAAACCUAUCACAGAUUUCCAUAUAGAAGGAGCACAACUCUCACAUAUUUCCGUAUGUAAUACUUUUGCAGUUGUUACAGACGUGUGUGAAUUGAAGUAAGUGGUCAUUCAAAUUUUCGGAGGGAAUUUCAAUAUUUGGGUUUAUUUAUCAAACGGAUUUCUGUGUUCGGUAUUUUUCUCACGGACGUAUGUGUCUUUUACUUCUCACGUUUAUAUGUGUAUGUACAAUUCUCACAUAUUUGUAGCUAAAAGAUAUUGUUACGGAAAUCUAUCACUAUUUAAUCCAUAUAAUAUAAAAGAUAACGAUUUUUAAAUAUAUUAAUAUCUAAUACGUACAUAAAUCUGUGCAUAUUGGGCAUGCCACAUAUAACCGUGUGAAUAGAUAGUUUAGUUUCACAUAGACAUCUGUGUCUAAUGAUUUUUCACACGGAUUGUAGUCACUUUUGUUGUUGCAGAAGUUCAUGUGGUAAACUCAUACUCAAACAAUUAACUUUAAGGAGCCUAAUAAACUUGCUAUAUUGAAAAUAAGUAACUGUGUAUGAUCUUCACUGAGAUCAGAAACAUUACGGGCACUGUGCACGCAACCCUUUCAUUCAUAGCCUGGUAUGGUGAAAAUUAGUUCUCAUGACAAGUUGUUACUACAGAACUCCAGUAAUUGCACGAACAGUGACCUCUGCCUCCACUAUGCAACUGUCUUUCAACAAAAAACCAUUUUCUUUCUUCCUGAACAUUUCCACCGUGAUGAAUUUAUUAUAACCCCAACUCUUAUUCAAGGCACUGAAGAUCCUACCAUUAGUACCUACAAGUAGAAUGAACAUUCUGUUAACUAGCUAGACGAAUGCUGCAGCCAAAAUAUAACAGAGUACACAAGAUGCUAGUACCCCAUAGGUUUUGUUUCUCCAGUUACUGUAUAGAUUUGUAUACUACUUGCGUGACAUCAAGUGGAGAGAACGUAUACAUAGAAAUGCUAAUAAAAGUUUGGCCAAUAUUUACCACUUAGUGAGUGAUGCGUGGAAUGAAUUUGAAUUUGAUCUAGGAUGCGCAAUGUAAAAUCUGCAAAUAUUCGAGAUCCAGAAGGAAGGGUCUGAGGAUUAGCCAAUGUGAGAAACAUAGAGAGAUGACUACCCUUUCCAUCAGCAAUUCCCUUGGGAUAGAGCUUUAUCUUCCUGCAACAACCAUGGCCAGUAGAUGAAAAAUAAGAACAAUCUUAGAUCGCAUGCAUCAUAACGUCAACCUAAGAUUCAAGCAGAAUGGGUAACAAUACUACUUCAACAAGUUCUACAAGUAUUAACAAAGAUACCAUUCAUAGCCUCCAGUAUUAAAGGAUUCUGAAUAAUAGUGUUCAGCAUCUAAUUUUUUGAAGUUGUCAAGCUUCCAGACAUGUUUGUACACUGAAGCAGUUCUUAUCUUUCUUAGACACUCUCCCUUCCCUGUUCUCCUUUCUUUACAAACGAAGACCUCAGCUCCAUACACACAUGUAUCAUCAACAAGAUAUCCAUUGGAGGCAUCAGUAAAGUCUUUAAUGGGGAUAAAUCUAUCAAAACCAACCGCAUCAAGCACAGCACCGUUGAAGCACUUCCCCUUAGCAAAAGCAUCUAACAAGGGCAAAAACAUAAACAAACACCCAGAAAUUGAGAAAUCGGCUUAGCAAAUAUGUGUACAUUAACAAGUCUACUGAUGAAGUAGUUGAUAAUAUCAUAUAAUUACUACCUUCAAAAACCGAGUAGACUCUCUUAUUCUGAUCGAACAAAAACAAUCUGAAAUCAACAUUUACCUCCCAACCAGUUGGAAGUGAAUUUGUUUCAGCUAUGACCAAGUAGAGAGAGAUGUGGUCUCUCACAUUCCUCUUCUUGUUUCCCUUUGGGUACAACACCAGUUUCCUGUGUGUGCAAAGCGAUGUUUGACAUUAUUCAAAAUGUAUCAUAUGAAAAGAAAUAAGAUCAUGUUGUGAAUCUGUGUUUAGAGGAGGCUCCUAGCUUUUUGUAGGAUGCAUGUUCUCUGUGAGGACCAUUGUAACGCAACUAUGCUCGCUCGAGGUUCAAGUACUACAUCCCUCUUGGUGCAGCCAAAUUUAUCAAAUUAAUAAUAUAAAUUGAUACGGCCAUAGUGGCCGGAUCAAACUUUUAAAAAAAAUUAAAAAAAAAGAAAAAAAAAAGAAUAAGAGCUAGAGAAAGAAUAGUAUCUACCAUUUGUAUCCUCCAGCUUCAAACUGUGAUGAUUCAUAUCCAUCUUGUGUAAAAAGUUCGGUUACCAUCGAAAAUAACUCUGUUUUUACAGUAUAGUGAGUCGGCGGUGAAUCUGAAGUUGAUUUCAAUAUUCCUGCAAUCAUCAAAACCUAGUAUUAGGCACUGAAUACGUUCAACUUCUGUUCUAUGAUUACAUAUGUCGACACAGUUCACUACCUAUAUAAUUAUAUAAAUUUAAUUUCAAUUAAUAGCACGUAUAUAUAACUGCAAGUUUCAAACCACAAUCUUCUCAGAAAAAAUAAAUAAAUAAACAGUUACCUUCGUUUUCAAAGUUACUGCUGCCCAUAAUUGAUCUCUCAAUUCAACUUAAAUCCUUUUCUUUCUUUUUUUUUUUGCUGGAAGAGGAGAACAAGAGAUGGCGUACGUAGCUUUCUGCGCACAGGCUACAAAGUAUGACGUCUUCGCAUAUAUUUUAUCAAAAUUGUGCAGAGAACAAGGUCAAUCAAAAUAAAGACCAUAAUAUGAUUGGGUAUAUGGAGGUCUUGAAACUUUGAAUAUGACCUCUCCUUCUUCAAUUGUAUCAACGUCAGCAACUAGACUCGAUUAACCAUCACCCAUCACCGACACCCUUCCUUAUACCCCAGAAAUCCCCGACUAUAAGACCUGGAUCGCUCAGUUUGCCGGCGACCCGCGAUCCGAAUUGCACGACCCGGACGUGAACUGAAUCGAAUCCAGCGAUCUGAUAAUUUCAUGUAACUGAAUCUCUCAAACUCGUAUGCUACGGAGAACAAAAUAAUGGCUUUGGAUUUAUGAUGAUUUCAGAUACGAAGACUAUAGACACUUGAACUUCUAAGGAAUAUCUCCAGCUACCAACUUCUAAGGAAUAUCUCCAGACACUUGGAUUUCUUAUGUUCCUAGCUAAUAAGAAUUAAUUUUUGAUUCCUUCCUUCAUUGGAUAAAGCCGACAAGAAAAAGCCUACCUUUUUUUUUUUUGGCUUAAUUUAUCUACAAAAUAUUUAUAAAAAAAAAAAUUAAUUUGAUUUGGUAGUUCAUUUUUUGUGGUCUUAUAAUUAAAAAAGUUCAUCGUGUUACAGGAAAAAUAUAAUCGGAAUCAGAAUCGGAAUGGUCUAUUCAUUUCAUUAGAGCAUCUCCAACCGCUUUCUUAAAAUUACUCUAAAAUAAGGAAAGAAAAACUAAAAUCUCUAAAAAAAUUAUGCUUAAAAUCCAACAGCUUCUCUAUUUUAGAGAUUUCAGCAUUUAAUACAAUAAAAAAAUAUAUUAUAUCAUUAUUAAUUAUAACAAAAAAACAUUAUAUAUUUCAUUGUAACAAUAAAAUACCCAAUCAAAUAUUCUGUUGUUGUCUUGAAUUCGUUGGAGCACGUGAAGAAUUUAAUUUUAGGAAAUGAAGGCUUUGCUGCAAAUUUGGGGAAUGAAGGCUUCUCUUUCUUCUACAUCCCCAUUUUGAGGAAUGGAAUGGGGAAGCUGUUGGACCUAAAAACAGCUCUAUAUUCCCCAAAAUUGAAAAGUUCAAGAAAAUAAGGAAGCUGUUGGAGAUGCUCUUAACAACCCUCUUUAUAUAGAGGUCGAUUACAACAGUAAUUACACGCACAUAAUGGUGAUAUUCAACAUACAUAAUGACUAAGUAAUAACUGAUUGAGCGGUUACAUCAUUUGAUCACUAAUUUGACGAAGACACACGUACAUAAGAUAUUUUUCCUUCAACACUCCCCCUUGUGUCAAGUCAAAGUUAAAAACGGUGCUUGGGGUGUUGUCUUAUUAAAAACUUUGCCAAGUAACAAAACUCAGUGGGACAAAAUAACUCUUGGUCGAAAGGAAAAAACACAACGCACCUAUGUGUGUUAGACUCCUCCUGAUACUUACAUCAAUCAAGGGAGUUAGGAACGUCUUUGCAUUCCUAGGUUUCUCACAUGUUUUUCAGAUAUAGCUUUAAGUUGUGAUUUGAGAAACAAGUAUGUCUUAUUGUCCUCGGACCUUACUUGCUUUACUUGAAUCUUGAGGAAAGAAUAAUGUUUCUCACAAGGUAUCCUCGUGUUCCCAAUGAUGAACACAUAAUCAGUUUGGAAUGACCUAUAGAAACCUAACAUUAGUAAAAACCAACCAAAGCAUCGUUUGGGAUAUUGGUGUAGGGAAUUGCAGUUUCAUUUGCAUUCCCUUUCGUCUUUUUGUAGGGAUAGGAUGAACCUAAGUCAAUGAUUCCUUUAGGUAUCAAAAUACUUUCUUUAUACCUUCCAAUGACACUGCGUUGGCGCUAAGCUAUGUGUAGCUACAAGUUCUUUGAGAAUGCAUUGUCUAGUCGAGUUCAUCGGGUUAAGUACAAUAUUACGCCUGUUGCACUUUAGAGAAGAGUUUUCAUUUCUCUACCCACCCUUCUUCGUUAUCUUCUUUUGGACGAAAUGGAUUUUCCUUUACAUCCAAACAUCAACCGAUCAUUGGGAGUGCUAACAGUAUGCAUUUUGUCCAUGUAAAUCGCUUGAGAAUCUUUUCGACACAUGCAGACAGGUGGAUUAGUAUUCCACAAACUCAUUAUUAACCGAGUUCCUUAAGAUUAUUCAUCUCAAUUGAGAUUUCAUAGAGCUCGCGGUUUCUCUUACUUCAUCCAGAGUACCUACUAUGUUCCUAUCAUCAACAUAGAUAGCUAUAAUUGCAAAUCUGAAACUCUUUGCAUGGGCAUAGUUCAUCAUUUUGUAUCCCUUCCCAACCAAGUAGUCACUUGUAUAAAGUGAGCGUUUCAAUUCUAAUUGCACUCUGUGGUUUAGAGUUACUUAGGUUAGAUAGUUUAAGGCCAUUAGACACUUUUAUGAAUAUAUCCCAAUCAAGAUCCCCAUGGAGAUAAGUAGCAACCACAUCGAUGAGCUGCAUUUCCAUUAUGGGAGAUUAUGUCUCCUCGUAGCCAAUCUAAAGCGUUGCGAGAAACCUUGGCACCACAAGGCAAACCUUGUCCUUUAGGGCUUCAUUCUUCUCAUUACGCUUUUUGAUAAAGACUUAUUUAUGUCCUUCACACUUUACACUUGGUAAGGUUAGCACUACCAAAACCAAAUACUUGUCUCUUUGUUAGAGAAUCUAGCUCCUCCUGGAUUACACUUUUAUUUAGGCUAAUAUGCUCUUUGUUGACAUUCUUCAACUGAGCGUGGUUCGGUACCUUCGUGCUCUAUAAUUCCUUGAGCAACAGUGUGAAUCAUCAAUGUGUAUGUACUCUCGUAAUCUAUUGAGAUUUUAUCUCUGGAAUCAUUUUAAAUAUCAGAGCGUCCUCCAAUAUUGAUUCAUAGAUAUAGUUGUAAUCAGAGACAAUCUCAUGAGAGAGAUUCCUUACAUUGAUGUGGUUGUGCCUUACUCGCCCGAUUCCUUUAGGCAAGUAUUGAUCGAACCAAGUGGCCUCCCCCUAUUCCCUUAGGAAGCCACGGCCUUAACCACAUCCACUAAGUGUGGUUGCAUCGCCUCUAUCUACGGCGACGUGCCCCUUAUUGGGGUCGUUUAACCUUACAGGCAUUUGCAGCUAACAUGUGUGAUCUCGUUACUUUAGCAAUAUCUAUAAACGUAUCAGGCAUCGAAACUGUUACGUUCAAGGUAUCAAUUAUGCGGGGAUCAUUAUGAGACAGACUGGGGACAAUCAGGACAAUUCAUUGUUGUUCUCUUAGAAAAUCAUUUUUCUUAUCUCCCCCUAAGGACGGGAAGACUGGCUCAUUAAAGUGACAUUUCGCAAAUCUAUUGGAAACGAGAUCGCCUGUCAAGUAUUCCAAGUGGCGGAUGAUUGUUGGAGAUCCAUAUCCAACAUAAAUACUUAUUCGUUUGUGAGAACCCUAUUUUAAUACGAUGUGGAGGCGCAAUAGGCACAUAUGUUGUGUAACCAAGUCUGCAUAAAUCUCAGGUUCAUGUUCAGUUACUAACUGGUACACAUGAAAUGGUUAGUUAGCAGUGGGUUUAAAAACGAGUAAGUAAGACUACGUGCAAUAUUGCAUAACCCUAAUCAUAUGUAGGUAGGUUGGUGCACAUAACUAAUACCUAUAUGUGGUGUCUUCUAUGAGACCAUUUUAUGUAUGCAUAUGGGGUACAAGAUGCUCUACAUUGAUCCUGGUAGACAUGCAAUAACCAUCAAGUCCUUUUGAUGUAAACUCCUAGCUGUCAAGUUCUGUAGACUUUAUGAUCAGGGUGGUGAGCCCGUAUAGUAUGUGCUAAGAGUUUUUGAGGUGCAGCAUAUCUUAUAGACAAUUGUUCGACAUGUGACCAGUUUGUCGAAACGUUCUCCAUAACCAUAAAAUACGUUGUACAGUAGGUUUUCAUAUGACAAUCAUUGACACUAAUAUCUGUGAAACUUUAACAAGGUUCAAUUAGCUUGUAGUGCAUACUGAGCUUUUGUGACUUUAAUUUGUGGGUAGUCUCAUUAUAAGCUAAGCACUCUAUUUCUCCUCGAUACAUUUCUUAAAAGUAUAUGGGAGUGUAUAUAAUUCAAAAAAUGUACCUCAUAUUUAUUUGAGUAUUUCAAUUUAAGUAGAAUGAUUAGGGAUGGCAAUGGGUAGGGUAGGGUACGGGGAUCAAAAUACCGUACCCAUACCCUUUUACAUUUCUCAUCCCCAUACCCAUCCCCGUACCCGUAAUUAGAUAAUGGGGAUUCCCCAUACCCGUACCUUUUAGAGAUUACGUUUCCAUACCCGUACCCGUACCUGUUAACAAUUAUGUAUUAAAUUAAUUUUUUUUUAAAAUACGAAAUACAAUUAUAUAAAAGUAUGAAAUUAAAAUCAAAUACCAAAAUAAAUAAGUUUCAUGCUUCAAUCCAAUAAAAAUAAAUACAAGUCUUGGUUAAAACAGAACAAUAUCGGUAAAUUUCAUUAAGAGAAUAAAAAUAUAUAAUAAAAAGGAAGGUCCAUUAAAUGUUUAUUAAGAGAAUCACAAAUUUUUUUACAUAAAUAUUUAUUUAUAAAUUAUAUAUAAAUAUAUAUAAAAUAAAUUAUAUAAUUAUAUACAAUAAUAUUUUCAUCCUUUAAUGGGUGCGGAUAGGGACGAAUAUCAAAAUACCAUACCCGGCCCGUACCCGUUUAAGAAUCCGAAUAUUGGAGAUCCCCAUCCCCGUUACCCGUUUAUACCCGUAUAUCUUUCCCGUUAAGGUCGAAUACCCGUGCGUACUCUACCCGCUGGGGAUUAUUGCCAUCCCUAAGGAUGCUAUGUUUAUCAUUCUGGUAAUUUUCCUUUUUAUUUGUUGGAUGCAUUGCUUUACAUCUUUAUAGUGCUAUUUCGAACUAUGUGAUUAUUUACAUAUGGAUCGAAUAAAUUCAGUGUUUCAGAAUAAAAUUCAAAUUUAAUAAUAAGCCAACGAUAAUUAAAUAAAUGUCUCAUUCAGAAAUUCUAAUUUAUCGAACGAUUAUACCAAUAAGCUUUAAGAUGAACCAAUAGUCUAGUUGAAAUAUGAGGUGUUUAGGCCUUCACAAACAGUUUUGCAGAUCAGUCGAAAUCUGAAUACAUAUUGACUGAGCAAGGUCCCUUUUGCUAUUUUAAGUAUGCAAUUGUGAGUUUGACAUCGUGGUCAUGACCUUCUUAUUCCUUAUAAUGAGCCUUUUUUUCUUUAGAGUCUCUACACCUCUUGCAUUGGCAAGAGUGAAUGUAUAAAUCACAUAAUCAUAAAGACAUCGACGUAAAAUAACAUAAAAAAAUAUGAAUUAGAUUUCAAGACUGAAGUACGUAAGGGUCACACUUUUUCGAUGCUUCGUGUAAGUAUUUCAUCACGGUAACAUGUUAUUCCUUUCCAAUGCCAUAAAUUUACUUUAUCAUAGCAGCACAAAUUUAUACAAUAUGUUAAUAAUACAAUCAUAAAAUAAAAUAGACAUGACAUAUAUCAUGAUAACAUGUCACAAUAUUCGCAAAAUACUUUUGUCACGUAACAUGCUUAAUAUCAUAAACAAAAAUUUAACGAAAGCGACAACUUUAAUAUAAAUCAUACUUGAUAAUUUACCAAAUAAACUGCGUAUGAAGCGUUAUCCCUCACAAUUAGCAUUUGAGUUGCCACAUUUCAAUCGGGUUGUCACCACAAUUGACAUUUCGAUCGUCACAUGUCAGUGGGUAUGUCACAUGCAAAACCAUUAAGAUUCAUUCGAUUAGUCACAUUUAACCGUAAAUAGUAAGUAAUAAAUGGUGUUAUUAUAACACAGUAAAUAACUUAAACAAUAAGUACUUUUCCGUUUUACUGUUUUUUUCAUAAAACAGUAAAGAGUAAAUCUGUAAGCAGUAACUAGUAAGUCCAUAUUCACCAUAUGGUAAUUUUGUGAAAUUACCUUCGUAAAUUCUCUGAUUUACCAGAAAGGGUAAAAAUCCCUUUUUUCUGGGUCGGAUCCGGGUCGUCGGCGCCGCGUCUCAACCGGUGGCAGAGAAGGCAGGGGGCAAUCGCGGGAGUAGCAGCGCUGCCGGAUCGGAGCUUUGGGGGGACCGAUCUGGGUUGCCGUGGAGUCAGAGACGACGCUGGAGUUUUGGGACGACGCAGGUGGGCUGCCAGGCAGCUUAGGCUAGGCUGGAAGAGGUGCCUUGCUGGAAUGGCGCGCUGGGCUAAGGCCGGUGCAGGUCGGAUCUUAGCGGCAGCGUCGGAGCAGUGCCUAGGUCGGAGGCGAUGUCGCCGAUCUCAGUCCAGGUCGAGCAUAGCAGAUCGGAGUUGACCGGUGGAGGUGGGGCCCGGGGCUUGACCGGUUCGUGCGCUGGGCUGCUGUGGUUUGUCGGCGGUUCUGAUCUUGAGGUCCGAUCUUGGGCGGCGCACAAGGGCUGCGGUUAAGGCUAGGGAGCCGAACUACGUUCUGAAAAAAAAUCUAGGGUUUCACAUUUUUCGCGAACAAACUCAACGAGGUUAGAACAAAGUGUUAUACGUGUUACAGGAAAAAUAGAAUUUGAAUCAUUUACUCAUUUCAUUAGAAACCCUCUUUAUAUAGAGGUUGAUUACAACGGUAAUUACACGCACAUAAUAGCGUUAUUCAAUGCUAAUAACAACGUACAUAAUGACUAAUAUGACUAAUUAAGCCGUUACAUCCAUUGAUCAAUAACUUCCUAAUUUACUCUUACUUUGACGAAGACACAUUUAUGGUAUUUUUCCUUCAACACAUCGUUGAUUAUUAUUAUUUUUAAAUUAAAAAUAAAAAAAUAUUAAUUACAUUAAUAAAGAAACUCAAUCUUGUUCGUAAAAGCUUUCUUGAGCAAGAACGACAUUUUCUCAACAAAACCUCGAUACAAAUUUUGUAUUAGCAAAACUUCAAUAAAUAAAAUUUAUAGAUACAAAUUUUAUAUUAACAAAAUGUCUCAUAAGAUCACUUUACUCUUCAACAUGUUCGUUCAUCUAUCCAUGACAAUCAAUCGUUACUACAAUAUCCCGAUUCUUGCUUGUGUAUACUAACUUACGUAUGUACAUUCUCAAAAUAAUUAAAAUGCAUUGAAUACUAAACGUUUACUAUUUAUGCGUUAAAUACUAAAAUGUAUAGGGUUAGGAUUGUCUAUGGUGCUAGGAUGUAUGUCAUAGACUCAACUAUAACUGGCAGAUUGUGCACACUAAUGUCUCGUUAGAAAAGAAAUUGUUUACAUAGAAGAAACAAAACUCUAUAUACCUUUCAUAAGCAACGUGAUCGACAAAAACUAAACUAGCCCAACUUAAUAUAUAUUAAACGUAUGUGUAAAAUAUGGUGUUAAACAAAUGCUUCAAUUAUUUUAAAAUGAGAAAAAUUCAGCAAUAGUUUCUAAACUAUUGUGCCAAGACCAACUGAUACUCAAACUCUGAAAAAGUAUCAAUGUGAUACCCAAACAAUGAUUUUGACAUCACUGAGAUACCUCCGUCUAAUUUUCUUAACAAAACCGUUUAUUUGCUGACGUGACAUGUACAUAGAAACCAAAAUGAAAUCAAAUAACCUAUUUACCCUUAUUUAUUUAUGUUAUUUCUCUCUCUUUUUUUCUUUUUCUUUUUCUUUUUCUUUCUUGUUCUUCUUGUUAGCCAAACCACUAUUCACUCUUCUCUAUACCAUCUGAGACUGAGUUUAUCAUCUCACACACAAAACAAAUCCAAAUACAUCCAAACACAAGAAAUAGAGCAUAUAAAACGCAGGACUUUGGCUUGAUAAAACUAAACACAAACUACUUGAAAAUCAAAACCCAAGCCCCCACUGUUCUCAAAGUGUGCUCACUACCACUUAUCUCAUCAAUCGGUUGCCCAAUAGAGUGCUUGGUGAUAAAUCUCCUCUUGAAGUGUUGAAAGGAAGAAAGAUCGACAUUUCUCACCUGAAAGUGUUUGGCUGCUUGUGCUUCGUUCACAUACAAGCUAAUAAAAGAGGGAAACUUGAUCCUCGAGCUGAAAAAUAUGUGUUUUUUGGGUAUUCAUCCACCCAAAAAGGAUACAAAUGCUACAGCCCCUCCUCUAACAAGAUCAUUGUUUCCAGGGAUGUUAGAUUUGAUGAGAAUAGUCAUUUCUUUGCAGGGAAAUCAAAUGGUUACAAUCAGGGAGAGUCUCUGUUUGAUUUGUUUCCAACUCCCAGCAUUCCAGUUUAUGAGGAUGGCAAUGUGCUUUCCAAUCCUCCUACUACAGUUCAAGAAGCACAGGACGCAAAUCUUGAUCCUGAGUGUGAUCAAGCUGAUGUGCAACCUGUUGUUGACCAAGUUCAACCUAGUCCAAUGGCCAUUCGAAGGAAUCCCUCAAGAGCAAGAGGACCUCCAGUAAAACUUAAGGAUUAUGUGACUUACACAGCAAGGUAUCCAAUGACAGCCUUUAUUUCUUACAAGAAAUUUUCUGCUUCUCAUGCUGCAUUUCUUAGCACUCUUGAUGCUGCUCAUGAACCUCAAAGUCUUGAUGAAGCAAAUCAAUAUGAAGUGUGGAAACAAGCUGUGGCAGAUGAAAUUCAAGCUCUUAAUGAGAAUAAAACAUGGAGUGUGGUUAAGAUUCCUCAAGGGAAGAAGACAGUAGGCAGUAGAUGGGUUUAUAAGACCAAGUUUCACUCAGAUGGUACUGUAGAAAGACAUAAGACUCGAUUGGUAGCUCGGGGUUUCACUCAAACAUAUGGAGUUGAUUACAAAGAAACCUUUGCUCCUGUUGCAAAAAUGAGUACUGUUAGAGUUCUUCUUUCGGUUGCUGUGAAUCAUGGUUGGCCUCUUUUUCAAAUGGAUGUGAAGAAUGCUUUUCUACAUGGUGACCCUGAAGAAGAAGUUUAUAUGAAAUUGCCUCCCAGCCAUUAUCAGUUUUCUAAUCCUAGUAUAGUAUGCAAACUUCACAAAGCCAUUUAUGGCUUGAAACAAUCCCCUCGGGCUUGGUAUGCCAAGCUUAGUUCUGUUCUUGAAGAAGUUGGUUUUCAUAGCAGCAAUGCAGAUUCCUCAUUAUUUGUUCGAAUUGGUUCAACAAGUAAGCUUAUGGUGCUUAUCUAUGUUGAUGAUUUAAUUGUGACAGGUGAUAACCUAGAAGAGAUUAAUGUUCUCAAGCAAUCUCUUCGUAGCAAGUUUGCAAUUAAGGAUUUUGGGCGUCUUAAGUACUUCCUUAGUAUAGAAAUGACUACUUCUCACAAAGGGUUGUUUCUAAAUCAAAGAAAGUAUGUUCUUGAUCUGUUGAAAGAGUAAGAAUUUUGGGAUAGCAAACCAGCUAGCACUCCCCUAGAUAGCAAGCUUCAGUUUGAAACUUCAAGUGCUUUUCUCUCUGAUGUGACAUCUUAUCAAAGGCUGGUUGGUAAGUUAAUCUAUCUUACAAUUACUCGUCCAGACAUUACCUAUGCUGUGAGUAUUGUUAGCCAGUUAAGAGGAUUCUUCGCUAUCUUAAAGGCUUUGCUGGUAAAGGUAUUUUGUUGAAAAACAAUGGCAAUAUUAACAUCAUGGGGUAUACUGAUGCGGAUUGGGCUGUAACUCCCUUGAUCAAAAGUCUACUACUGGUUUUUGCACCUUUGUUGGGGGAAAUCUAGUUACAUGGAAGAGUAAGAAGCAAACGGUUGUGGCUCGUUCUAGCGCAGAAGCUAAAUAUAGGGCAAUGGCUGCUACUGCUUGUGAGCUUAUUUGGCUGAAGGGUUUGUUCUCUGAUUUGGGGUCCCCUUGUAGUCAACCAAUCUCUCUCUAUUGUGAUAAUCAAGCUGCCAUGCACAUUGCUUCCAAUCCUAUUUUUCAUGAAAGGACCAAGCACAUCGAAGUUGAUUGUCAUUAUAUUCGAGCUCAAGUUCAGUCCAAGCUCAUUGUCACUCAUUACACUCGCAGCUAUGAUCAGCUUGUUGAUAUCUUCACCAAGUCUCUUUCAACAUUCCAUUUUCAUCGUAUUUUGGGCAAGCUUGGCUCAAUGAAUCCUCUUGAUCCAGCUUGAGGGGGAGUAUUGAGAGUUAGAGAUUAGUUCUAAUUGAACUAAUCUAGUUCACUUUAGAUGCUACAGCUAUGCUACCAUGUACUGCUGGUGUGCUACCAAGUACUGUUGGUCUCCAUAGUCUCCCUAGUCUCAUUUUUCUGAAACAGCAAGUUGGUUGUUGCUGCUUGUCUCUCUCUUGCUGCAACAAGUUGGAGACAAAGUUGGUGACCUCGAUUUUGGUGCCACAGCUGUGGCUGUGGCUGAGUUUGCUUUAGCUUCGAUUCCGUUAUACGGUUCUUACUGUAUCUAUAUAUACUUGUUAUUAAACCUUGUAAAGUUUUUUAUCAAGAAAUAUAGAAGAAAAGCUUCCCCAAUCUUUGUGUUAGAUUUCUUCAGAAUCUUUUAAGACUAGCUUGUCGGUGAGUCAUUGUCUAACUAACUAAUACCGCAAAGACCAUGAGUUCAAAUCUCAUUAUCAUACUUACAUAUAUGUAAGAUGAGGAUGGACUAAGAUAGUAAAUAUAACUAAAAAAAAUCACAGAGAAAAAGAUUUUUUAGACUUCAUAUGGAACUUGCAACACUAGCAACAUAUGGAAAGGGAGACAAUAUAUGCAACCCAAGUUCUUUUGUCUCCGCCGUACCGAAUUAGAUGUUAGAACAAAACAACAAUUGAUUAUAAUUUUGACACAUGAAGCCAUUAGCCACGUACCUAAUAAUUCAUGAAAUAAUUACCUAAAAAAAAAGUGCUACACUGUUGAAUAACUUAUAGAUCAACACGAUCACAAAGAAUGCCUGGAAGCCUACGCUGCUGGUUGCACAGUUCACUCCCGCCGUCACACUGCCUAAACCUGAAAAUCACAAAAUGAAAUUAAAUCAGUAAAUCUAGAAAUUGGUCAAUAAGAAUUGUCAUAGUCUUUUUUUUUUUUCGAUUAGUAAGCAUUGUUAUAGUUCAACGUUACAAUUCUAUCAUAUAUUCCAAAACAUAGUUCGUACGUAUUCCCUACCACAUUCUCUAGUAUAAUUCGACGAACUAGAGCAGAGACACAGCUGCCCUUCAGUCUCGGUAUCAAACCCGCACGUCCCACCCGACGCCGCACACCUGUCGCAACCGGAAUCCGGCACGGCGAAGCUCAUCUUGAUCCCAUAAACCCAAUCCUGCGGCCCAAUCCCACUCAACCCGUCCGUGUUCGUCACCGUCGUGUAAUGCGUGCAGUCCAAGACAUUCAUGCUCAUGAACUUAACGGUGUCGUAACUCGUAAAGCAGCACGGCGGCGAAGUAGUGUUGGCCAUCAUGUGGAAAACCCUAAAAGCGUUGCACGAGCCGUAGAGCUCGUCGCAUGAGUGAGAGGAGAAGUUGAAGCAGAGGUAGCUGUAGUGGUUGAGGACAGGGGAGUCAAUAGAGCAGUUGAGGAGGGCAAAGACGGUGUCGGAGGUCGGAGGGAUUAGGGCUGACUGGAUGUCCGUCAUGAGGAAGUCGUGGUGCGGCUGGAGGAUGGAGCAGGUGGACAUGGCGGGGUCGUAAACGACGAUGGUUUUCUUGUCGUAGUUGAUGGACUCGACUUUGUAGGAGCCGGAGGGAGUGAGGAAGAAGAGGUCGGUGGAGCAGUUGAGCAUGCGGCGGAACUGCGGGGCACCGCAGCCGUCGUCGAGGCCAAAAGGGUAGUUUAUGGAGAUGUCGCCGCAGGAGUCGCGGCAUUGGGAGAGGGUUAGGGUAGGGAGAAGUGAGAGGAGGAGUGUGAAGUUGAUGAUGGUGAGUGGUUUAGAGAGAGGCCUCAUUUUUGUGUGAACAGAGUGAGUGAGUGAGUGAAGAAGAAGAAGUAGUGAGUAGUGAGGUGAGUAGUGAUGGUGAGGUAAGAUUAAUGGAGCGGGAUUUACUCCAGGAAUUAUGCAAUUGGGGACUUUUCGGAGACCGAAGAAGCAUUUGGGAUGCCUUUUGGGAGCUUUAUACAGGCUGUGAUGGGAUCCACGGGUAGAAAAGGUUGUAAAAGGGAGACGCAGAGGAUGAGUGUGAUAGCUUUGGGAUUCUGCAGCUAGGUGUUUGCGUUUGUAUAAGAAACCGGAUUUUUUCUGAACAAAAAAAAGAAGAAGAAGAAAAAGAACACAGGAAGACUGGGCCGGCUUCAUCAUAUAUGGCUUCAUGUCAGAUUCACAAUAGAUCGAUAUCAAUAGUNNNNNNNNNNNNNNNNNNNNAGUUCUUCUUUUAUCUGGAGGAGGAAAAGUCGAUAUCGUAUAUGGGACAUCUCAAUAUUUUGUUGUGUUGAUUCGAAAAGCGGAGUCUCAUUUCAAUUAAUAACAUCUAUGCAUCAAGCUAAAAUGAUUCGAAACUCGUUCAUAAUAUAAGAGGUGAACGUACAAUAGGUCUGCACAAAGCCUAAACACAAUAAUCUAAGCACAAUAUCUAAACACAAUAUCUAAACACAAUAAUCUAAGCACAAUAUAUACAAGUCACACGAAGCAAUCAAAUUAUUAACUAACCUAAAAAAGAAAACCUAAAGAAGCUGCAUAAGAUUAAAAGACCUCUCAAACCCUAUAUACAAUGGCCAAAAACGCCUAGAAGUUGUUGGCAAAACCAAAUAUGGUACCAUUAUUCAAGACUAGCAAGAGGCUAGGGCAAGAGAGAGCCAGCGAAGCUAACUUAUUCAAAAAAAUAACACUCCGGGGGGUUUCGAAUUGGAAUCGUUUUUGGUUCGUUCCCUCUUCUUAACUGAAUGUUUAGCUCUUAUUACUUUGCUAGGUUUUAGUAAGUUAAUUCAGGUAUAUUCAUACAAAUUUACCACAUUUGCGAUGAGAUACAAUGUCAAGUUUUGUGCAACUGACCAUAAGAUAUAUAUGGCAUGGAGUACCAUGACGGAUCCAAAGUUCAGGAUGCGUGUGUACGUACUCAGUUGAGUAGUGUUACGAUUGAAUGGAAAACAUAUUUGGGGGCCCAGUACCAAAAAAUAUAAUGCGGUGAAGGUGGAUCGAACACCUGACCUUUAGAUCUUCAGUCUGACGCUCUCCCAACUGAGCUAUCCCCGCAACUGGUAUGUAUUUUAGAAAAAAGAAUAUUGUUUAAUGUGAAAACUUUCCAACAAUCUAUUACACUCUACAAGAAUAAAGUAGAAUUGCCGGUCCUCUUUAGUCUGUUGGCUUUGUUGAAUGCUAAAUCCAUCAGCUCUAAGGUUGGACUGGCACAGAGAGAGAGAGAGACUUUUUUAAGUAAUAGUGUAAUACCUCUUUUUUGUUCUUUUUUUUUUUAAAGAAAGGCACAAGGAAAAGAAUUCUGUACAACCUAAUGGCAAUGGGUAGGGAUCAAAAUACCAUACAUGUACCCUUUUUCAUUCUUCAUUCAUGUAUCCGUUAUAUUCUCCGUAAUUAGAUAAUGAGGAUUCCCCGUCCUUUUUGGGGAUUACGUUCCCAUACCGGCCCCGCCUCGAUCCCUGUUAACAAUUAUGUAAUAAUUAUUAUUUUUAAAUAAUUACAUAAUAUAAAAAUAUGAAAAUAAAAUUAAAUACAUAUAUAAAUAAAUUUCUUUAUUCAAUUUAACAAAAACGAAUAUAAAUCUCAGCUAAAAAAGAAGUUUCUAUAAAUAAGAAGUUUCUAUAAAUAUUCAUUAAGAGAAUCAUAGUUAAAAAAUAUUACAAAUUUUUUUACAUAAAUAUAUAUAUUUAUAAAUAAUAUAUAUAUAUAUUAAAAAUAGAUAUAUAAUAAAUUGUAUAUAAUAAUAUUUAUAUUAUAAAUAGGUGGAGAUAGAGACGAAUAUCAAAUUAUCAUACCCGCCCAUAUCCUAUUCAAAAAUCCGAAUACUAAAAAUCUUCAUACCCAUUACCCGUUUAUCUCCCCAUAUAUUUCCCGUUAAGGUCGAAUACCAUGAAUACCCUACCCGUGUUGUCUAAGUUGGGACUCAAUGAUCUAAACAACUAAUACUCAUUCCGCAAUAUUCCAACACUGAUUAAUCAUGCAUACACAAACGCCAAGAAGGUACACGAAUAAAAGGUCUCAUUUAUGCAUACAUACAUGUAGAGAGGGAUAGAUCAGAUAGUACUAGUUAACGCAUUAAACAGUACUAAUACAUACGCAAUUGGUCACCACCAAGACCAUAAUACACAUCCUAGCUAGCUACUAAUUAACAUUCAUACAUAAGCUACGUACACAACGAUAACAAAAGUAAUACGCAAUUAGGUAUAUAUUGCUCCAUGUUCAAACAUUUGUAAAGCGCAGGUACCCUUUCUGGGAAGGAAGGUCCUUGGUCUUGUUGCCCUGAGGGAACAUCUUCUGGGCCUCCUCCUGCGACACAGUAGGAGAUAUCACAACAUCAUCUCCAGGCUUCCAGUUCGCCGGAGUAGCAAUUUUGUGAUGCUUCGCCUUUUGCAGCGACUCCAACACCCUCACCACCUCAUCCAUGUUCCGGCCAGUGGUCGACGGAUACAGAAAGCUCAACACCACCUAUUACAUAAUCACAAAAUUUAAUCACUACUGCAUGCCUCAAAAUUAUUCAAUCAACGAAGCACAUAAAGAACUAAAUGGCACCUUCUUGUCAGGGCCGACUAUAUGGAGAGCGCGGGAAGGUAGGCUGUUUCCGGAGGAGUCUUUCUCUUCGGGAUCCACCAUGUUGAGUUGCUUCAUGAUCUCUCUCUUGGUAUCGGCGAUGAUCGGAUAGUCCACCUUGCACCCGGCCUAUAAACAUUCAUGGAUCGAUGACAAACAAUUCAGAUCAGGUCAUCAAGUGGAAAGGAAAGCGCAAAUUACGACAGGCCGAUCUAGUAGUGAAACUCACACUGUAGGCUUCAAUGUCCUUGAUCCACUCGUUAUGAGACGAGACGUCGUCGCAGGACAAACCGAUCAGCUUGACUCCUUUCUCCUUGAACACCUUGGAGUACUCGGCCAUCUUCGCAAGCUCCGUGGUGCAGACCGGCGUGAAAUCACCUACAUCCGAAAACACAAACGUUACUUUACGUCGCCGAUUAAAUCAACAGAAGCAGAAUAUCAAGUUAGUGGCAAACCGGGGUGAGAGAAAACGAUGGCCCAGCUGUUCCCGAUGUAGUCAUGGAGCUUGAUCUUUCCUUGGGUGGUUUCAGCUUCGAGGUUGGGGAUAAUGUCUCCAAUGGUUAGCCCAGGCAUCUUCAGAGAGUAAGAGACCGAGUAGAAGUAACAGUGUUUUUUCUCUUUGAUUUUUGUUGUGGCAGAGAGAAGGGUAGAGGGAGAGGAGUUAUAUAAAGAGUCGUGGGCUGCUGCAUGAAGAGAACGUGGCUAGGGAGUUGAAGCAGUACUGGCUUCCUGUCAUUGGAAAUAGGCUCCUUCUCCCUCCACGUGUCCCACCAUCUUUUCUCCCUUUCUCCACCUUCAUCAUGAUCUCGUUCUAAGUUAGCUGGUAAGUAAUAUUAUCAUUAAUAAUUAGGCUAAUUAACCAAAGGGGAUGUAGCUCACAUGGUAGAGCGCUCGCUUUGCAUGCGAGAGGUACGGGGUUCGAUACCCCGCAUCUCCAUUAAAGUUGCUUUAUUUAAUUCCUCUAAUUUUUGAGAACCCCAAACUACCACCAGGCAGCAGUAAAUAUUUUUUACUUUUUACUAUACCCCGGGUAGAACUACCAUCAGGUAGCAGUAAAUAGUUUUUACCUUUUACUAUACCCCCGGGUAGUUUUGACCUUUUUAAUUUGCUGUGAUUUGACUGAUUUCCAAAACUACCCGGUAGCCAGACAAUAGUUUUUACCUUUUUAAUUUGCUGUGAUUUGACUGAUUUCCAAAACUAGCAGACAAUAGUUUUUACCUUUUUACUUUGCUGUGAUUUCUUUCCCGCGCAAUGACUUUGACCUUUUUAGUCACUCUCUCACUCAUUUUUGGCAGCUCAAACGAAAUUAGGGUUUUUGAGAAAAAGAGAAGCUAUGGAGGUCGCAGCUCAAAUCGGUCAGCUGCUAAACGACACCGUCAGCCCCGAUUGCGCAGCAGUCCGUACGGCCACCGAAGCCCUAGACCGCCUCUCUCAGCUUCCCGAUUUCCCUUACUACCUCAUCUCCAUCUCCGCCGGUAAUUUAUCAAUUUCUACUCCGAUUAAGGUUAAUUAAAUUCGUAUAGCUGCUCUGAUAGUUUUGAUAUCACUGUGAAAUGUUAAAGAAUGGUAAAAAAAAUUUUGGAAUUUUGAUUUGUGUUGGUGAAUCGAUUUCAAUACCAGGAGGUGAAAAUCAAGGUCAGAAAAUCGCGGCGGCGACGUACUUGAAAAACUUCACUAGGAAAAAUGUUGAGGGGGAUGUGUCGAGUUCGGCACCGAAAGUCAGUAAGGAGUUCAAGGACCAGCUCUUGCGAGCUUUGCUGCAAUCGGAGCCCGCGGUUGUUAAAGUUUUGGUUGAAGUGGUAUGCAAUUUCCUCUGCUGAAAUUUUACUAUGAUUAGUUUGGUUUGUGAGUUUUUGAUGUGUGAGAUUUGUUUUGGUGGCUUUGGGUGGCAGUUUCGGGUUAUUGUUGUUGCGGAGUUUGUUAAGCAGAAUUGGUGGCCUGAACUUGUUCCUGAUCUGCGAGCCGCUCUUGAGAAUAGUAACCUUAUUAGUGGCGCAAAUUCACAAUGGAACACGAUUAAUGCCCUUAGAGUUCUUCACGCACUUGUUAGACCUUUUCAGGUAAUUGAUAUGUUCGAUUCAAAUUGAUGUGGAAAACAGUUAGGGAUUGACAAUUACAGAAAAGAAUGUAGGGAUAUUAAGUGGGAAUAUGUGCUUAUAGUUCGGGGAGUUGGUUUCAGAAAUGAUGGUCAGUAAUCUCAAGUAUCAAAUAAGAAUUUAUGUAGCGCAGGUAUAAACCACAGUCUUGAUGCUACUUUAUGAUCUUUGUAUGCUAUAAAAUUAAAAUUUUCAUUUUCGUUCAUCCUUCUCUUCCUAAUUUUGACUGGUUACAGAUGCAUCAAAUCAGUUUUAUUUUUGAUUUUUUUCCAUUUUAUCCUGUAGUUGCAAGUGACUUCUCGUCUACAUAUUGACUUUCAUUUCUCAAUUUUCCGGAUUCGCUGGAAUACCAGUGUCUGACCAUAGUAUAUUCUUUAAUAUAUGUUUGUAAUAUUAUCACUGAGGGGCCUCUCACAUGGUAAAGUGGCAUAUACACCACACCUUUUUUGGCAGUAUUUUUUGGAGGCUACAGUUUCUAAAGAGCCAGUACCGCCACAGCUUGAGCUAAUUGCAAAGGAUAUUCUUGUGCCUUUGUUAACAUUAUUCCAUCAAAUUGUCCAAAAGGUUGUUAUCUUUUACACUUCUUUACCCUCAUUUCCCUCAUGCCCUUUCUGAUCUUCCACGAGACCUUACAAUGAUGGAUUCUAUGUAUCAUAUAGGCAUUGGGUACUCCUGGCAUGACAGACAUGGAAACAGAAAAUUUGCUUCUGAUUGUCUGCAAAUGCAUGUAUUUCACUGUAAGUAAGGCUCUUUUUAUGACUAUGCAAUAUGUAUACAAGUUUAUUUGCUCAAUCUUCUUUUCAUCCCCACACAUCUGUUUGUGUUUAUUAGUAUAUUUUAUUUGGUAUUAUGGUUGUUUCACUUUUUAGUAUUUGACAUAGUGUUAUGUUGAUAGGUGAGGUCGCAUAUGCCAUCUGCUUUAGUGCCUCUUCUACCUUCGUUUUGUCACGAUCUAAUUGGCAUUGUUGAUUCUUUGAGCUUCGACUGCGUGGUAACACCAGAAAAUGGGUACCAGAUGAGGUUAAAGACUGGAAAAAGAAGUUUGCGCAUUUUCUGUACUCUCAUUACUCGACACCGAAAGUAUUCUGAUAGGUAAUUAAACAGUGCUGUAUGUAGUUCUCUUACACAAAAGGCGUUGUUGUGCUUAUUAUUCAUGUUUUGUACUUUUUUACAUUUUUAGGUUGAUGCUAGACAUGAUAAAAUGCGCUCUGAACAUAGUCAAAUACAGCAAGAAUAUCAGCGUAAGUUUUGUAUUGAAAUUUGUUUUUCAUCAUGUUUGAUCUUGAUGUUUAAUUUGAUUAUGUCUCAUUCUGUUCCGUGUGCAGAAGAUUGACUUUUUAUCGGAGAGGGUCCUUUCAUUGUCUUUUGAUGUGAUAUCACACAUUCUUGAAACAGGGCCUGUAAGUUUCUUACUCCUGAAUGCUGUAACUCCCAUGGAACAUUAGAGAACUGAAAGUCUUUAGAAUGAAUAUUGUCAAAUUUAAGAAGCACAUGUUCUUUCUUUAAAUCAACCUACUUUCAUUUUCAGGGAUGGAGAUUAGUUUCUCCACAUUUUUCGUAUCUAUUGGAUUCUGCAAUCUUUCCGGCGUUGGUAAUGAAUGAAAAGGUAAGUGUUCGGGACAGUUAUGUGUAUGUGUGUUUAAUAUCAGCUUAAAAAUGCUUCCAAGUAAAAUUUCUUCUAAUCCCCGUUUAUUCUGCCAAUGGAUUCAAGUAGGAUAUCUCAGAGUGGGAAGAAGAUGCAGAGGAGUACAUACGAAAGAAUCUUCCAUCUGACCUAGUAAGGGAGCUUAUGUUUUUAUGAUCUUUGAUGUGAUUCAUUUACCAUUUGACCUUUUACGUACUUUGUUUUUGAACAGGAAGAAAUUUCUGGCUGGAGGGAUGAUCUAUUUACUGCCAGAAAAAGUGCUAUAAACUUACUCGGUGUUAUUUCAAUGUCAAAGGUUACUCCUAUGUGCUCCUUGAUGAAUAUAUAUGGGCAUGUAUUUUAAACAGCAUGUGAUUAUGGUUUUCUUUGAAUGUCUACAGGGACCUCAAAUGGGAACUUCUUCUAAUGCCUCAUCAGCUUCAUCAAAACGCAAAAAGGGUGAAAAGAAGAAGCAAAACAAUCAAACUUGUUCAGUUGGAGAACUAGUGGUGCUUCCAUUUCUGUCAAAGUUUCCAAUUCCUUCUGAUGCUAAUCCAUCCCAAACUAGAAUUACGAAUGAGUGAGUUCAUAAACACAUCCUUACAUAAAUAAUUGUUGAUGUUGGAACUGUAUGUCUUCUGCGCUUUAGAAUUUAUUAGUUUCAAUUUAUUAUUCUUUUUCUAUUGUUACCUUUCCUUUCCUUUUCAUUUCUUUUUAAUUUAUUUUAUUGUACAUCUCUUUAUGAAAUUUUUUCAGUUCCUGUUUGUUAUCACCAUAUUCUGUUUUGUGUGUCGCACUAUUCUCAUAUUAAUGUGGACACUUCAAAUUUAUUUUUGAUUAUUUUAUUAUGACCAUGGCAGCUAUUUUGGUGUUUUGAUGGCAUAUGCUGGCUUGCUAGAUGUAAGGAUUUAUCCUCCUGUUACUUCAUAAUUUUGUAAAUUGAGUUAUAAAAGAGUCUGUAUUGAAGAUUUGUACUCGUUUUAUUGUUAUACAGUUUCUAAGGGAGCGGGAACCUACAUAUGCAGCUACUUUGGUUCAAUCUCGGCUACUACCAUUGUAUAAUUUAUCAGUGUGCCCACCGUUGGUUGCCACUGCAAACUGGGUGUUGGGAGAACUAGCAUCGUGUCUACCUGAGGUGAGACUGUUCCAUACCCCACCAUCUGCUUUGCUUAUGCAUUAUUUAAAUCAAAAGUCGAUCUAUGCAUUUUUGGCCAAACCAUCAAGAACAUUUAUGCAUUUACCUACCUAAUAUUUCGAUAUACUUCCUUGAAAACAGCAUUUUAUUUGUGAUAGCCCACACUGAUUUUAUCUCAUUUUCAGGACAUGAGUGCAGAUGUGUAUUCCUCGUUGCUGAAGGCAUUGGCUAUGCCUGAUAGCAGGGAUACUUCUUGUUAUCCAGUGCGGGUAUCGGCUGCUGCAGCCAUUGUAACACUUCUUGAUGUAAGUCGCAAAAUCAUUCCUGUACUUGUGGAUUAAACAACAGCAUUAUGGCUUUAACUGAUCUUAUAUUCUUUCUUCAGAAUGACUACACACCACCUGAGUGGCUUCCUCUCCUUCAAGUUGUUAUUGGUAGAAUUGGCUGUAACGAGGAAGAGAACUCUAUUUUAUUCCAGCUUCUUAGUUCUGUGGUGCAGGCGGGAAAUGAAAAUGUUGCAGUCCAUAUCCCAUAUAUUAUUUCAUCAUUGGUUGUGGAAAUCUCAAAAUGCAUGCCCCUUGAUCUGGAGCCAUGGCCUCAAGUAUGUCGAUCCUUUUAGUCUGUAGGCUGGUAUUUUCUUUAUUUUCUUUAUUAACACGUUAACCAUCUAGUGAUCGAUGCACCUGAAUACAGAUUGAAACAGUGCCAUAGAAUACUGAUUCACGUCACAAAAUCAAAUACACUGUGCUUGAUCAAUUUGAAGCUGGUUUUUUUAUGCAUAGAGUUGAUUUUUCCCCUUACAUUCAUGCUUCCACUUUUAUAUAGUAUGCGCUAUACAUUUUGUUCAAUUUGUUGCUUGCAUUGGAAUUAUGGUCCCCAAGUUAUCGUAAUUUUUUAUGAAGUAAUAACCUGUACCAAUUUCAACUAUCAGUUUAAUACUGAUGAAGUGGCACCGUUUAUAUCAGAUGGUUGAAAGUGGUUUUGCGGCAUUAGCAGUGAUGGCUCAAAUUUGGGAAAAUGAUAUGUCUGAAGAUCUGGAAGAGAAUGAAUCCAACCAUAACUUUCUAUUAGGUCAAGCUACUAUUGGCAGAGCUUUCUCUGAUCUCUUGCAACGGGCUUGGCUUGCACCAAUGCAUCGAUCGGUUAGUUUCUGCUAUUAAAUAUUUGGUUCACAAAGUCCAUUUUCUGGCACUUGCGCUGUUCAGUCAAUCAUUAAUUUAUACUUCAAUCAGUUUGGCAUAGGCAUCUGGGUUUCAGAUCGUCACAUUUGUUGAUUUCUGUUACUUGACCAGGAUCAGGAAGAUAACACUUUGCCACCUCCAUCUUGCCUAGAUUCUGCAUCAACGUUGCUUCGAUCCAUCAUGCUAUCUGUUACUGGAAGUAAUGUUAUUCUAGAGCUUAAAGUGCCAGAGCUAUUAUUAGUUUGGGCUGAUCUCAUUGCGGACUGGCAUGCUUGGGAAGAAUCUGAGGACAUGUCAGUCUUUGAGUGCAUUAAGGAAGUUGUCAAUCUACAUAAUAAGUAUGGGCUGCAGAAUUUUAUUGUAGGACAGAUGCCAUCUCCUCCAGCUCCACCUGUUCCCAAGCAUUCUGUGAUAGAAGGUAUUGGUACUUUUAUAAGCGAGGCCACUUUACAAUAUCCAUCUGCAACAUGGAGGGCUUGCUCUUGUAUCCAUUUGCUGCUACAUGUCUCAAGUUACUCAUCUGAGACAGAAAGCGUGAAGCAGUCAUUAGCAGCAGCAUUUUGUCAGGCGACAUAUUCCCAUUUCAGAGAAGUUAAAAGCAAGCCUGGAUCUCUGUGGAAGCCUUUGUUGCUUGCUUUAUCAUCAUGCUAUUUAUGCUGUCCUGAAGUUGUAGAGAGUACAUUGGAAAAGGAUGGAGAUGGAGGCUUGGAAACCUGGGUAGCUGCCCUCGGAAUGAUCUCCACCAACUCUUUCAAACCUGGGCUAUCAAGAGAGUCGGAGAUAAAGUUGAUUGGUAAGUAUAUUUGUAGCUAAAUCUUUAGGAGAAGACUUCCUUCUGCUAGGUUCUUAGGUUCUCCUUUGAUUAGAAUUUACCGCUGAAUAGUCAUCUGGAAUAAUUCAUAUCCACAAAGGUUAACAGAUAAACAGCUGAUGAUUUAAUGACUUGUAUAACAUCACUAAUUGUUCUCAAUAAACCUCAGCGAUGGCACUGGCAAAAGUGGUUGAGCGACUUCUGAUACUCGGAAAGCCUGGUUCUCUGCUUCGAGAAUGCUUUACUUCUCUGAUGGAAGCAUCUGCUCGAUUUAAUGAAGUUGAGGAAGAUAACGAUGAAGAUGAAGUAGAUAUAAUUGAUGAAGAUGAAGAUGGUGAAAUAGAAGAUGAUGACGAUGAUGAAGUAAGUAAAUGUAUUAGUCUGUAUACUGCUUAUCAAUAGCAGCUGAUAUGCUGCAAUUUAACUUUCACUAUCUGAGCUACUCCAGCUAGACUUUAAUGAUAUAAGUUGGCCCCUCAGAUGUUAGGAAAGUUAACCGUCUUAUGCCUGUUUAGGACUCGGAGGACGAUGAACAUGAAGAAACUGAAGAAGAGUUCCUGAAUCGAUAUGCUGAAGCUGCUCUUGCCUUGGAAAAUGGUUCAGUUAUUGAAGAGGGGGAUAUCGAAGAUGAAGACCAGGAAAUGGAUUUUGAGAAAGGUGCAUAUUUCUCGCUACUGAAAAGUGCGUUAUUGACUACUUUAUAGGUGCAUUUUGUUGCUGAAGUUUUGAUUUGUCUGCUUUUCUCAUGGUGUGUCUUGCAGGCUGCCUAGAAGAAAUUGAUCUGCAAGAAGCUGUCACUUCACUUCUACAGAAGUACCAUCCCAUUCUCAUAGAACAACAAGAGGCAUAUCCACCAGAGCUCAUUUCAAGAUUUGUAGAGUCCAUCCCGCAGUGUAAGAUUUUCUUUCAGCAUUAUUCUAGGUGAGCAAAGCAAGUGUGAUAUGAUUGCUGAGUGUUGAAUUCCGUGAUUCUUUUUCUUUAACCAUAUCUAACUCGAGGUCCGUUUGGAAAAAAUCUGCCACAAGGCUCGAUAGUGCAAAGGCAAGAAAUAGUGAAGAAAAGGAACAAUUUACCAGACAGGCAAGAUCUCGUUUUUGUUUUGUUGAAUAAGCUAGUUCGUCUCCAGUUGACUUAUAUAGUCCUAGGUCUAGAAAACACGAUUGAUAUAGUUCCACUGUGGCUAGACCAUAGGGCAAUAUGCUGAACAGAACCGCGGUUCACUCGCAAGUCUAAAGGGAUUCAGUCGAAGCCAGAAACUCGUCUAUUAUGUUUGAAAAGAUUAGCAGAACCAAUUUUCACAACAAUAUGCUUGAUUUUAAGCUCAAAUGACCAACCCGGAAACAAACCCCAGGGGCCAUAUUCCUCCAGCAUCCAACUUAGUCUAAGAUUAAACCCUAGACACGAACUCCACUAAUGGAAGUUGCAUUAUGUGGUCUUGGAAACCAUCAUCGGCCAUUUCAAAGCAAAUCUAAAGUUUCAUUAAUGUCAUAGCAGUCUCUUUCUUGUAUGACAAUGGCUUUUCUUUCCAAUAUAGUGUAGCAAGCUCUAAAUUAUACGGCAGAAGUAAUUAUUCCAAUAUCAUUCCAGAUUGCAGUAGCCAAGAUUGUAGACAACCAUUUUCACCAGCGCCUUGUAGAAUUAUCUGAACUACGUAUGAUUACUAUACCUGGGCAAGACAAGUUUAAACAACAAAACGUAAAACGCAAAACUGAAAGGCAAUGCCAGGGUAUCAAAAAUAUUACCGCAACUGUCCAAUGUCGAUGCUAGGAAACUUACACAGAACUUUCACCCACACAACAUUACUACAAAGUUAACUAUAUAUUAUUAUUAAUAUUAAGAAUAACUUAAAAAAAGACAAAGAACUUAAUUAAACAUAAUAAUGAACAGUGCUGGAAAGUAGAAACUGCCCUAAGCUAAGCACUCGGUAAUUUCUUCCAGUCUCUCGUCAUCCCGGGUUCCCCGCUUAAACAUAAUCGAGUAAACAUCUGCUAGUACUGUUUCAUUUUCUCAAACUUGAGGUUCAUGUCAUUCGCCAUUUGUCUCAUGAAUGCAUCUUUGUCUUUCAUGGCUUGUUGAAUGUUGUGCUGAAUCAUAAAUACCUUGAGGAAAAACAAGUUCGAAGUUGGAUACUUGGUUCCAGAAAAUAGGCAAGUGACAUCAUAAAAAUAUCCUAGGAACCUCGAGGUCUGCUCAACCUUGAUCCAUUCAUCAAAAGAAGGACAACACUUAAAAUCUGUGUCACAUAAUGCAAAGUUGAUCAAAGCACGGCGAUAGAAGAGUGCACUAUCUAGCAUAAGAUAGGUGGAGUUCCAUUUAGUAGGCACGUCUUGUCGCAAAGCUCUCCUACUACCUCCCAUUCCAACUUGAUCAAUACAGCCCAAAAAUCUUUCCUUUCUUGCCAUUGAACCCUUAUGCACUUGAGACACUCAUGAAUCUUUAUCACUGACUGAUCAAUAGAUUUCAACCCAUCUUGAACAAUUAAGUUCAAGAUAUGUGCAUAACAUCAAACAUGAAAAAAUUUCCCAUUUAACAAGAGUAGCCCUUUAAAAUUCAACUGAGUUCUCAACUUCUCAACAAAGGAAUCAUUAGCAGAUGCAUUAUCCAAUGUAAUCGAAAACAGUUUCUUCUCAAUUUCCCACUCACAUAUCAAAGAAUUAAUCUUUUCAGCCAAAGCAAUACCAUUAUGUGGUGGAGGAAAACGAUAAAAGCUAAUUAUCUUCUUAUGCAAUUUCCAUUCCAAAUCAAUCCAAUGUGCCGUGAGUGUCAAAUAACUAUCAGUUGUUUGAGAACUCCAUAAAUCAGAAGUCAAACAAAUCCUCCCUUGAACACAACUUAAAAUACUAUGAAGCUUCAACUUUUCACUAUCAAAGAGCUUUUGUAAUAUGUGACUUAACGGUGUUUCUACAAGGCAACUUAAGAAUAGGAGAAAUAUAAUGGAACACAGCUCUAAUCCCCUCAUACUCCACAAAACGAAAUGGCAAAUCAUGUCGUACAAUAGCCUCAACAAUCAAUUCACGAAAUUUUUCAUGCGAAAACUUUGAAGAACGUGUAGAAAAAUGAGGUGACACUACAAUAUCCUUAUUAUAACAUAGGUCAUUAUGGCGUAUAAGGCUACUUGUUCCUGUCACUUUGUCACACUUAUACACGGCUCCACACUUGGUGCAUUUUGCACGUUCUAUCUGAUCAUCACCCACAGGUAACUGUUUAAAAGACAACCAACAACAAGAAGUCUUCUUUCGCUUUUGAGCAGAAACCUCUGUUGUUCCUCUUUCUACCACAACGGGUUCCUCUGGUUCCAAUGAUAUUGAUAUAUCAUCAUCAUCCAUUCUCACCACUACUCUGAAAACAAAACAAUUAAUACAUUAUCAUCAUCCAUUCUCACCACAGUUUGCAAAUAAUACACACAGUUUGCAAAUAAUCUUACUUUACAGGGUACAUAUGAAUGAAGAAUGAAAACCAUGAAUAUGAGCUAGCCCAACUAAUAUCUACGUAUAGUAAUCUCUGUAUCUACCCAGAGUAUCACACACAGUUUUUAUUCUUUAUAUAUACCUCUACAAACUUACAUGCUUCCUUAUCAAAAACACAUUCCUAUUUUCUCACCAUUUUCCUAGUACUACUCCGAUCCUCUCGUUUUCCUAAACAAGAACCACAAAACGAUGAUUGAAAUCAAUCUUCAUUCAUCUAGAAUCCAUGAAUUGAUAUUGCCCAGAAAGCAAACCAAACACAGCAAACUCACAAACACCAAAUGCACAAAAUUAAGAACCCACAGAACAGAUCCAGUUCAAAUUUUGACUAAAAACAAUAAAUCUAGAAGAGUAAGGAAACAAAAACCAACCUGAAUUUUGAUCCGAAGAGGGAGAAAGACUGGCACGGUUUGUUUCUGAAGAGGGAGAAGACCGAGAGAGUGACUGUUUCGAUCUGAAGAGAGAGAGAGAGUGCUAACUGCUUUAAUUUUUUUCUUCCUUUUUUUUUUUUUCCUUAGCGGGUUGGGCGGGUCGUUUCCUCCCGUUAGUUAACGGGUUCUUAGCAGGUUGUCAACCCGUUAGUGUAAAACUGUAAUGGGACAGAAAUGGGCAGGUUAUUAACAGGCGGUUAGCGGGUAAUGGGUUAAACUGCCAGGUCUGAAUGAACAAAAAAAUGAGAUGGUGGGACGCAAGGAUUCGAACCUUGAUCUUCUCAAGAUCUUGAGACUUGCAUAUGCAAGUUACAAGCCUGAGAGCUCUGCCAUAUUUGAGCUACAUCCCAUUAACCUAACCUAAAUGCCUAAUUCCUAGUUAUCCUACUAAUGCAUGUUGGUCACCAAUUAUAGUUUUCCAUUUGUUACUUUCAACAUGCAAACCAAUCCCUACUUGUAGAUACAUAUCCUACAAAACCAUACAUAUCCUACAAAACCUAACGAGAUGCACAUCAUUACAUAGAAGAACUCCUGUCUAAGCCAGAACCAAUUCAACAAAUUCGGCACGAAGACAAUCCACCCCCCAAAGAAACCAACUCCAUCGAUUACAAAACAGUGUAAAGGGAACCAAUGAGAAGAAAACUGGAAGAGUAAUGCAGCUAACAAGCCAUCAAUUGGAAAAUUACACAACCACAUGCACAACAUCACCAAGUACAAACACGAUCCCCUUGUUGUGACACCAUAAACCAACACCAAUCCAAGCCAAUUCUUCAGUAAUGAAACCACAACAUCAACCGGUCAUCAUUUCACAAGUUCUUCCGACACUUGACAAGUACAGACAGUACAUCAACCAACACUUUGGACAACAAGAAGACAUAUCACCAAAGGAAGAAUUAUGCCACUGUUUCACUAAUAUACAACAACCAACUCCACAGGCAACCAAAAAGAUGCACCAUGAUCACGCACUAUAAAACUAUAUUCCAUCAUGCACGCUAUCAAGUUGAAAAGACACAAUCAAAGUUAAAAAGAGAUUUCACCAGGCUCCACAUUCAAAAUGCUCCACACUGAAAGAACAACCAUACCAAAAAGCAGCUUCCCACGUAUCAAUGAUACGAACUGAAAACUUCAAAACUUCGUUCCACCUCUUACAACAGAAGCAAAGAAAACCACAAAGAGAUGAAGCUGUGCCAAACUUCAAAACCCAGCAGCUUAACAUGUUUAAUUAACCCUCUUUAAGAUUCAGCAGCAUCAGUAGUUAACAGGCAACAGGAUAGAUACCAUACCUAUCUGAACUCCUCUAGCAAUAAAUUAUGUUCCAGAAAUAAUAUUGAUAGUUUACAUACUAGCAUGUCACGAGUUGAAAUUUGCAUCCAUCCUAAAUGUGACACAUCACAAAGAUAUCCUUCAUCUAUUGAAUGCCCAAAGAGUAAAUGUAUGAAAUUAAACCGAGACAAAAAGCAUCAAACCUUACUGGACAAAAGCUUCAACAGCCUUCUCUAACAACCCUGCAAGGCACAGCCAAUAAAAAUAAAACACAAAUGGAUGAUAUAGUGCCAAACCAUUUUUGAAAAAUAGUUGGGAAAGGCGAAACAGCAAAACCAGUAUAGCAGAAACAUACAUGAUCCAACUCACCAGCCAAUAUAAACACAGCAGGCGCCAAAAUUAGUAUGUAGUGGAAAGUAAUCUAAAGAAAACAAUGAAUGAGAUGAGUGGUAACCAAUAAGGAACCACAUUAGGGGCAAAGAUUGGACAAAAAACCAUACUAGAUCUGUACCAGAGCAGACAGCUAAAUUAAUAAUCAAGAAAAAGAUCACGACUAGCCUUUCAGCACAAAAAAAAAAAAAAAAAAAAAAAAAAAAAAAAAAGAAAGUAAAGGAAAGAACGAAGUUAAGAGAGACAGCCCAUUUGGAACACGUAAUUGAAGUCCUGCCAUCAAUUGCAGCCUGGACUCCGCCCCAGCCAAAACCAAGAACACAUCUGAAAAAUAAUAAUAAUAAUAAUAAUAAUAAUAAUAAUAAUAAUAAUAAUAAUAAUAAUAAACUCACAAAAGGGUUUGGAAUAGAAUGAAAGAACGAAAAGUUCAUCGUGGAAACAAAGGGCACAAGCAGAUGAAACACCCCACUGGUAGCACAGCCUAAAACGACGCAGAUGAAAAACUGUGAUUUCUAUAGUUACUAUAAUCCAAAGAGACCAAAACAAGGAAUCAAUAAUGAAUAAAAUUAAGAAAUACUAAUAUCACAAAUGAUGAAACCACAAAGCCUCUAACCUUGACCACCGCAGACAGCUCCUUAAUCAAUACCAACAAAUCAUCUACAAGAGAAUAUUAUAUAAAAAGUAAUAUAAACAAUAGCUGAAAGCAGGAUACCAGAAAUCAAAAGGAAACCAGUUAAUCAGAACUCUUUUUUUUUUUUUUGGUCUGACAGUUGAUCAGAACUCUGGAUGAUCAUAUAUGGACCGCAUCCUUCACCAGCCCAAUCCUAAAGCACAAAAAUAAAAAAAACCAUAAUGCACCACAACCAAGAUCUGAACAAAUUAAUGAAUUCUUGAAACCAAUGUACUUGUUCAACGACAAUUCAGCUAUAUAGAACAUUUAGUAAAAUCAAGCAAGCAAAAUAACAAUAACACCUCUAAUAUCCACCUAUAACCGGAGAACGAUAAUGACAAAAUUUAUCUAUAAUAACAGAAUAUCAGGACUCAAUAUUAAAACAAUUGAGAACAAAAGCAGUUUAAAGGAACAUUCUACCACAAAAGUAAGUAAUCAGAAAAGAUCUUUUUACUGUCUAACAAAGAAAUGAGUUGACCCCCAGGAUGUCGAGGAGAUAUUUGAUUACUACUUCAAAACCCUGAAAUACACAUGCAGAACAUAAUACCAUCGAUACAUAUUACAUUCAAUACAUACCAGAAAAAGCUUUCAAGAACUACUGUAAAAUCAAGAUGCUCUGUGCGUAUGACAUCAGAAGAUUGACAUGUAAUGUCAAACUAGAAAGGUAACCCAAAACCAGAUGUAAGUAAUGCCAAACAAUUUUAAACCCAGAUAGUUUGAUUUCUUGGUAGGACCAAGUCGUAUGAUUUGGACAUUGAAUCAAAUUCAACCAGAAGUAUCUGUAGAAAACGAAAAAGAAAACGAAAAAGAAUUCACAAAAGUGUAUGAAAGAUAAUAAUAUAAAGGACCAAUAGUCAUAAAUACAUGGGAUGAGCCCCAAAAAACAAAAAAUCACAGAAAUAGACUGAAGAUAUAAAGAACAAAUAGAAACCAGGAUCCCAACUAGACAGAACCGCACAAAUUCUGACCUUGAGUAAACCAGUCCCUGGGACACGUCAAUAUAAUGUAUAGUAUUAGUUCAUGUAGUCACAAAAAAGCAUGCAAUUGAGCCCGAAACAUAAGAUCACAGAAGUAGACUAAAUAUAUGAAGAACAAAUAGAAACCAGGAAACCAACUAGACAAAACCUUUAAAACCUCUGACUUGGUGUAAAACAGUCCCUGGACACAUCAACAAAAAGUAUAGCAUGAGGCCAAAAAAAAAAAAAAAAAAAAAAGGUUAAUAUGAAAGAUGUAUAGAGCAAAUAGAAAGUCAUAAACCUAUUAGACCCACACACACUGACUUGGUGUAAAAUGUAAUUAGACGAACCACACACUCUGACUUGGUGUACACCAGUCUCUAAUGUAUUGUAUUGGCCCACCUUAGAAGUCGCACGAAAUAGGAACAUGAUGAUCACAAACAAGUUUAAAAAAUACAAUUAAUAAUAUAACAAUAGUAACUACAAAAUAGGUUUUGAGAAGAAAUUAAAUCACAGGGACCACUGAAGCCAGAGCUCAUCUCAUUAAUAUAGGUAUGGACAGUAACCUUCACCAGCCAAAUCCUAAGACACAUAAAAGAAACAUACAUGAUGCUGCAGAAUUAAAGUUGAAGUCGAAAUGAAGUCAAAGGCCAAGAAGGCAAGUAGUUUGGAAGCAUGAAAAACAGAUUUAACCAAUAAAGCCAAAGCUCUGCCCGUUGUAUGUCGAGACUCCAUCCACCAGCCAAUCCUAAUAUAUAUCAAUAGAUGCACCACAUUCCAAAUUGAAUCAACAAGAAUUCAAGUGAUAAAAUUAAAAAGAGGGAUAGAUGCAUCACAAUCCAAAUUGAAUCAAAAGGAAUUUGAGGAUAAAAUUAGUAAAGAGUAAAUGGAUCCAUCAUCAAACCACUAAACAAGACAACACAAUACUCCGCUAUAGACUUGGGCAGCCAUCACCCUCAAAUAAGCCAAAUCCUGAACAAAAACCACAACAGAACUGCAUUAUAACCAAAUCAUCCAACCACAAAAACAACAAAUCAAGGAUAGGAAAGGAAUUGAGUUAAUUGCUGAAACAAAAAACCAAAUCACAAGAUGGAUAGGCAUCAUCAAAAACAAGACCUCAAUAACCACAGAGAUAUACAUCAUAAGCCCAGCAGCAACAAAAACCCACUCCUGCAUAAAUCCUUACUCCUAGCCACAUCCAAGUACCAACAUAUAGGCAAAUUAGUAUGCUUGCAGUAGUACCGAACUGUUUUUAAGAACUGGAGAACAAUUUACAAAAUUCAGCCGCAAAUAGAAAUACUAAACAGAAAAAAGCAAAAAAAAAGACACCAAUCAUUUUCAGAAAAGAUGAAAGAUUAGAAGGAAAGAACAACUAGCACCAACCAGAGCUACAGCUUGGUAAGCCAAUCCCAUGAGAGAAAAAGGAAUUCAAGUAAAAUGACAUUACUAACAAAUGAGAAAGAAAGGCGGAAAGGUUGACCCAAUAAACCAAUUGAAACCCCGUAUCCUGCUUGUAUAGCCACUGCAAACCCUGCAGCCAAAAUUGCAAGAUUCUCCUAAAAACAAUAACAACUCGAUCUCAACCAGUGAACAGAAUAGAAACUGAAAUAAAGAAUAUAAUUUUUUAGAGAAAUAAAAAGUUUCCCAAAGCAAUAGAGCCAAAUCACGUAAGCACUUCCCAGCACUUACACCUACCAAGAUACCAGCAAAAUCCUAAGCUCACAAAGAUAGGGAUUGGGAAAGAACAAAAGAUAUGUAUUAUAAAAAACCAAUUGCCAAAACACAUGAAGCAUCACAGCUCCUUAGAUAAAAAAAAAACAGAAAAGCUUAAAACAGAGAUGAAAAGCUUAACCCGCUUAGACCAAAAACAUGCAAACAACAAAGUAUCAACAACUAUUGGAGGAAUGAGUUGAUCACGCCUGGGAACAGAACUCCUAGCCACCACCAGCGAGCCAUAUCCUAAACCAACAGGAACAAAAUCCACCCAUAAAUCCAUCACUGGACUUUACAAGACAGCCAGAAAAGCAUGCAUCACAUUAUAGUUUUGAGCAGUUUUAAGAGGAGGGUAGUGAAAGCAGAUUUAACCCCCGUCAACCGUUAGCCCACGUACAGCAAACAGACUAUGAACUGCACACUUUCCCCAGCCAAUUCCUGGACACAUUAACAAAUGGAGAAUAUGAGGCAGGUUCCGAGAAAAAGAAAUCAUACUUCAAUCUCUGCAACUAAUAAUUACAAUACCAUGUCUGCCAUAUAGAACCUCAUCAGCAAUCAUCAUCUACCACCCAAGUCGUAAGUCAGACAACAAAAACCAAAAUUGAUCUCCAUUACGAUAUAAAGCAAGACGGAUUAUUUCAACAAAGCAACUGGUUGACCGAUGAAACCAGCUGGAAAACCCAACACCCUGCCACCCUGCUCAUAUAACCAAAAUUGAUCUCCAUUACAAUAUAAAGCAAGACGGAUUAUUUCAACAAAGCAACUGGUUGACCGAUGAAACCAGCUGGAAAACCCAACACCCUGCCACCCUGCUCAUAUAGCCAUUGCGAACACCGAAGCCAAAAUUCCAACAUUCUCCUAAUGAAACACCAAUAACAACUCAAGAUAAACCAGAGCAGACAUCUAAAGAAACAAAGGCGAAACGAUAAAUAGAGGAGGAGGAAGAGAUGUUGAAUGCCAAACCAAAUACACCCGAAUGGCGUGACUACCCUGCAUUUGCACCUAGCGAUAUACCAACCAAAUAAUAAUGUUAAAAAUCAAAGUAAGGUCUGGGAAAGAACUAAAAACAGAAUGGAAUAACUAGAGUUCAGAAACCAAAAGAGAGCCGAAGCAUGAUACACCACAGCUGCUUACAAGCCAUCGCAAGCACAACCUACACCAGAGCAAGCAAAAACUUGAAAACGUGCCAAAAGCAACUACUACUGAGAAAAGAUGAGUCCAAACAAACAUGCGUACAAAACCAAAGGUAGAAAGGAUGAUUCCAUCACUGAAUACAUAUAAAGCUGGGAACAAAAACUUCAAGCCGCCACAACCCCUAAACCAAUAGAAACCAAAGUCCAUCAAUAACUCAGACCCUCAGACACAGAGCACAAACUAAAUGAUUUCAAGAAAGGUAAAGGCAGAAGAUAGUCUGUAAACCAAUAAAACCCGAAGGUCUUCCCAUCAAUCUGGGUACGGACCGCAGCUUCACACAUCAAAUCCUAAAAGCACAUCAUUAAAUCGUGAUGCAUCCCAAUCCAUAUCAACUUAGGCAGAAGUACAUUAAAGGAUGAUUCAAUCUCAGCAACCAAUUAACCGAUUUACUAAACCAUGUUUGCUUAUCACAGAGCUCAGCAGCCACCAUCAGACAUCCUAAAACCACACCAACAAAACCACAAUCGAUCUCCAUCAAAAACUGAAGCAUCCAACCACUUAAUAAUUCUAAAUAGGUUUGAAAACUCAAAAGGUAGGAGUUAGCAAAUUUGAUCCCUGUUAAACCGACUAAUGCCGAUGUUCUGCCCAUCACUAAACAUGUACUGCAGCCCUCACCGGCCAAAUCCUAAAAACACACAUCAAUAAAAUUCAUGUUUCAUCAAAUCAAAUCAGGAAGGUCUUCUGAAGAAUGAACCAAAUAAAAAAAGCACUAUUUCCAUCUCUGCAAACAAUGAGAACCGAAUCGUUUGCUUGGUAUAGACCUCUGCAGAGCCAUCACCAUCAAACUAGUUCAACCCUACAUCACACCAACAUAAAAACCACAAUUGAUCUCCAUCAAAACAAGAUCCCGACCACAAACACAACCGAAUCAAUGAGUUGAUAAGAAAAGAAAAGAACAAGUUCACCGCCAAGAGCAAUAAACCUUGGGCUCAUAACAUGGACAGCCGUAACACAAAUAAAAACCCUGAGACAGCACAGCAGCAAAAACAUAAUCAAAUUUGAAAUCUUAAAAAACCAAAGAAAGAAAUCAUGGAAGAAGAAAGAAACUCUAAACCUGACAGCACAUUUUCUAACACGGGGGACGGAUGUAAAGAGGCUACGGGGUUCUCAUUAUGGGGGACAAUAUAGAGGCUGGGAUAGAAGGAAACAACUAACCAACUGAAAUCCCCAGAUCAUGCUUGUAUAGCCAUUGCACACACUGCAGCCAAAAUUGUAAAAUUCUACUGAAGAACACCAAUAACAAACUAUAUCUAAUCCAAAGCGGACACCAAACGAAAACAAUAAGAGGAAAAACACAAAAAAGAGAGAUAAUUUGGAAAAAAGAACAGUUGAUUAUCAAACCAAAUACAGCCGGUAUCACAAAAGCUAUUCCCAGGCAAAUGUACCUACCAAAAUACCAGAAAUCCGAAAUUCACAAGUGUUUGGACAAGAAUAAAAUAUAAUUGAGAAGAAUUACAAAAAUAAUUGCAAGAACACAUGAAGCCCCACAGCUCCUCAGUAGCCACAGUCCACAACCAACAAACCCGCACACCUAAAACAGAGCAAUAGAAAACUUGACCCACUCUGAACUAAAAAGUGCCAUUAACAAGGUAUCAAUAAAUAUUGAGAAGGAAUGAGUUGAUCACUGAAACCAAUUAACCAAUUAAGCCUGCGUACAGAACUCCUAGCCACCACCAGCGAGCCAUAUCCUAAACCAACAUGAACAAGAUCCAUGACUCUAUCUUACAAGGCAGCCAGAGAAGCAAACAUCACAUAAUCGAUUUGAAAAGUUUUAAGAGGAAGGUAGUGGUAGCAGAAUUAAGCUGUGUCAACUGACAAAAGCCAACACUGUGCACGUGUAUAGACUGCAGGCCUUCACCAGGCAAUUCCUAAACACAUCAAUAAACGCAGAAUCAGGCAGAUUUUGAGAAAAAUAACCAUCUUUGCAACCAAUUAAAUAAUUUACUAGACCAUGUUCACCAUAUAGGACUCGGCAGCGAUCAUCAAACCAGCCAAAUCCUAAAACCACAAUUGAUGUUCAUUACAACCGUAUUUCAGUAUACAUUAGAUUUUUAAAAAGUUGAAAGUUAAUAAGAGGGAAUGAUUUGACCGAUGAAAGCAACUGAAAAACCCCGAGAUCCGAUCAUGCUUGUAUAGCCAUUGCAAAUGCCCGAGAUCCGAUCCUGCUUGUAUAGCCAUUGCAAACGCCGCAGCAGCCAUAUUUCCAAUAUUAUCCUAAUGAACACCAAUAACAACUCAAUCUAAACCAGAGCCUAUGUCAUAAAAAAACAAGAAACAGGGUAUAAAGAAAAAAAAGAAGAGAGAGAGAGAGAGAUUUUGAGAGAAAGGACGGUUGAUUGCCAAGCCAAAUACAUCCGAACCAUAGGCUUUCCACCUACCAAUACACCAAUCAAAUCCUAAAGUCAAAAUCAAAAUCAAAACAGGUCUGAGAAGUAAAAAAUUGCAACAAUUUGAGUUAGGAAACCAAAAGGGGCGAAGGAAACAUACACCACAGCUGUCUACUAGCAUCACCAGCACAUCCUAUACAGAGCAAGUAAACCCUUGAUGAUCCAUUUGGAAAUAACAUAUACAAACUUAAUUUCACUCAACUUAGAUAUUAUGCAGCGAAGCUAGGUCGUGCCAAUUAAGCUUGUUAACGAUCCCAGUUUAUUAUCAAAUUGAUGCAAAGUAAAUGGUGCGAUUAAUCUUGAAACGAUGGUAGCUGUAAAUGGAUGCCAAAACAGAUAGAGAAGAAAUUAGUAGAUAUAAGUUGAUGACUGCCAAAACCAAGGUACAAAGACCGCUUUGACCACUGAAUCCAAAUAAAGUUGGGAUAGAACUCCUAGCCUCCACCAACCAGCCGUGCCCUAGACCAACAGGGAACAAAAUACAUCCAUCACUCAUAUAACAGGAGAGAGAAAAAGUUUGAUUGUCUAUAAGGGAAGGUAAAAAUAGCAGAUUAAACCCGUGUAAGCUGAUAAAAGCCAAAGUCGAAGCCUUCACCUCCCAAAUCCUAAAAUACAUCAAAAGGAUCGAUGCAUCAAAAUCCAUCCCAAACCAGGAAGAUUAAGAGAAGAAUAAAUGACAAUUCAAUAUCUGCAACCAAUAACCAAGUUACGAAACCGUGUUUGCUGUAUAUAAACCCUGGCAGCCACCUCCAAUCCACAUCCAAAUCCUAAAUCACACCACAAAAUCAACCUCUCCAUCAGAAUCGAAUCAUCCACCACAAUCCAAAUAUUUUGAAAGUUUGAAAGGUAGGUAAAAUUAGCCGAUUUAAUCCGUGUCAAACCAAGAAGGAAAGCUGAUGCUCUGUCCAUGGCUAUCGAUCUGUACGGUCACCAUCAAAAUCGGAUCAUCCAACCACAUAAUAGUUUUCCCAAUUAGUUUUGAAGUUCAAAAUCAAAUUAGCAAAUUUAAUCCGUGUUAAACCGUUUUAAAGUCGAUGCUCUGGCUCAUCUUUAUGUGUACGGACUGCAGCCUUCACCCGCCAAAUCCUAAAACCACAUCAAUUAAACCACGAUGCAUCACAAUCUCUAUCGAAUCAAAGCAGAUUCUCAGAAGAACUAAACAAAUUAAAGUCGAUCUCUGCAAACCGAUUUAGGGAACCGUUUGAUAAUAUACGUAGCCCUGGGCAGCUAUCACCACCAAACCAGUCCAAUCCUAAAUCACACCAACACAAAAUCACAAUCGAUCUCCAUUAAAAUCGAAUCAUCCAACCAUUAACGAAUUCAUAAGAGAAGGAAGGAACGAGUUAACCGCCAAAACCAAACUGUUGCUUAAUAACAUCGGCAGAGCCAAAGCCAUCGCAACGAAUAGAAAUCCAAACCCUAAGAUCACACACAGCAGCAAAAAGCAAAAGGGAAUUUGAAAGCUUAAGAAAACCACAGGAAGGAAAUCGUGAAAGAAAAAGGAAGCUCUGAACCUGAUAGCUCUGAUAUUCCUUCUAGCGCGGGGUGAGAAAUGUGAGAGGCUUAUGGGGCUAUUUAUAGUGAGUAGGGGAGAAUAUGGAGGGCUGAGAUUAAUCAAU
rnacentral:lncRNA from 1 species